rnacentral:misc_RNA from 1 species
UCUCCGUAGGUGAACCUGCGGAGGGAUCAUUACAGAGUUCAUGCCCUACCGGGUAGAUCUCCCACCCUAUGUUAUUAGUACUUUGUUGCUUUGGCGGGCCGUUAGGCUCCGGCCCGACUACCGGCCCCGGCUGGUAAGCGCCCGCCAGAGGACCCAAAACCCUGAAUAUUAGUGUCGUCUGAGUACUAUAUAAUAGUUAAAACUUUCAACAACGGAUCUCUUGGUUCUG